CCAGCUCCAAGAGUGUAUAUUAAAGUUGUUGCGGUUAAAAAGCUCGUAGUUGGAUUUCUGCGUAGGAUGACUGGUCCGCCCUCUGGGUGAGCAUCUGGGUCAGCCUGUGCAUCUUCGUGGAGAACGCAACUGCACUUGAUUGUGUGGUGUGGUAUCUGCGACUUUUACUUUGAGGAAAUUAGAGUGUUUCAAGCAGGUAUGCGCCUGAAUACAUUAGCGUGGAAUAAUAAGAUGAGACCUCGGUUUUAUUUUGUUGGUUUCUAGAAGUGAGGUAAUGAUCAAUAGGGAUAGUUGGGGGCAUUCGUAUUUAAUUGUCAGAGGUGAAAUUCUUGGAUUUAUUAAAGACGGACCACUGCGAAAGCAUUUGCCAAAGGUGUUUUCAUUGAUCAAGAACGAAAGUUAGGGGAUCGAAGACGAUCAGAUACCGUCCUAGUCUUAACCAUAAACUAUGCCGACUAGAGAUUGGAGGUCGUUAUCUUUAUGACUCCUUCAGCACCUUCUGGGAAAUCAAAGUCUUUGGGUUCCGGGGGGAGUAUGGUCGCAAGGCUGAAACUUAAAGGAAUUGACGGAAGGGCACCACCAGGAGUGGAGCCUGCGG
rnacentral:rRNA from 1 species